CUGUGUUUGGGAUAGCUCAGUUGGUAGAGUUUGAGAUUCUUAAUCUCAGGGUUGUGGGUUCAAGAUUCCUGCAUUGCAGA